UAUCUUAAAUUGAGUUAUAUACUUGUUGCAUAGCUGCUGUCUGUUUGCUGAGAAAACAGAGGAAGCUGGAAAGAAAAUGAAUUUUCAUAGGCAAUGGUUAUUUAGAUAUAUCAAUCGAUUGGGGCUUGAUUGGCUUGGUCUUUAACUGAGGUCAUCUGAGUGGAAUUUAUUGCUUGGCUCUUCAUACGACUAUUGACAUUCUGCUCAUUGGAGGUCGUGACUCUGUUUGUCGGGUCUGGGAUAUCCGUAGCAAGAUGCAAAUUCAUGCACUGUCUGGGCAUGAGAACACCGUUUGCUCAGUUUUUACUCGACCUACGGCAAAAAAUGACAACCCUUACACACCAUAAGAAAUCUGUGCGAGCAUUGGCUUUACAUCCCAAAGAGUAUGUAUCUGUAAAUAUAAUUUGUUCCUUUGCAAGUUGAGUGUUGAUGCAAUUGAAUCAACCCAUGAUAAUGCACUCGCAAGAAGAUAUUUGGGUUGUGU